UACGUAGGCAGCGAGCGUUGUUCGGAGUUACUGGGCGUAAAGUGUGCGCAGGCGGCAGAGCAAGUCGAGUGUGAAAGCCCCGGGCUUAACUUGGGAAUUGCGCUCGAAACUACUUUGCUGGAGUGUGGCAGAGGAAGGUGGAAUUCCACGUGUAGCGGUGAAAUGCGUAGAGAUGUGGAGGAACACCAAUGGCGAAGGCAGCCUUCUGGGCCAACACUGACGCUCAUGCACGAAAGCGUGGGGAGCAAACAGG
rnacentral:rRNA from 1 species